CGUUACGUUUCCUAACAAAAGAAUUUUGUCACUGACCUUUUUUUUAUCCUACUCUUUUUGUAACUAGCUGGUAGACACCGAAAGAAAGUGUAUAGAAAGAAAGUGUAUGUAAUAGCCACUAAAUCCAGUAUCCAUACUUCGGUUAGCAUAUAGGAUGUAAUUUUACAGUGCAGUGCAAUAUUUAUACUGGGGUCAAAGUCUUUGAUCCCUAACACUUGGGUACGGUCAGCAUUAAAGAACUGCAGAGAUGUAUGCCAAUUACAACAUGGUAAUUCUUCCAUAAUGAGCAUAAAGCAGCUUGGUUUAUGAGGGAUGAAAGCAGAGUGAGAACUAGUGCAAAUUUCUGUUGUUUAAUUGUAUCUACGUGUCAUCCAUCACUCUUUCAGAAGAGCCAACACCAUGUUGCGAGUGGAGGCCGAAAUGCACGAAUUUUAGCUCAAGCAGGCUGGCGUGAGGAGGGAAGAACUAUACUGACGUGAGGUCUGGAACAUGACAAGGAAUGAGAAUUCAGAAAGCGGACGUAAUUAGUUUGAUACUUAACUUUAAUUCAUUAAUGAUGAACGUUGCUCUUGAUGGUACAUAAGUCACAAUAUUAUCUGUUCAGAAUACAUUCUUGAAGUAAUUACAGUAACUGAAUAUGGCGCCUUGCUAGGUCGUAGCAAAUGACGUAGCUGAAGGCUGUGCUAAACUGUCGUCUCUGCAAAUGAGAGCGUAUGUAGACUGUGAACCAGCGCUAGCAAAGUCGGCUGUACAACUGGGGCGAGUGCUAGGGAGUCUCUCUAGACUAGACCUACCGUGUGGUGGCACUCGGUCUGCAAUCACUGAUAGUGGCGACUCGCGGGUCCGACGUAUUCUAACGGACUGCGGCCGAUUUAAAGGCUACCCUCUAGCAAGUGUGGUGUCUGCUGGUGACACCACAACUAUUAUAUACUUAUUAUAAUCUCAUAGUGCCUGUAUACUGUGCACUAUAAA